rnacentral:lncRNA from 1 species
CACAAAUACAACAGAUACAUGCUUCAGUUGGCCCUCAACAAAAAUGUGUACUACAUGUAGUACUAAACUCAGAAAUAUAAAGAAAGAAACUAAAAUUAACAUCAUACAAGACUAACAAAGGCCAGAGUUAUUGAACACUUUAAAAAUAAUUAUCAUUUUUGUACAAAACAAUGAAUGAAAACAAAUAUGGUAUACAGCAACA